rnacentral:rRNA from 1 species
GACGAACGCUGGCGGCGUGCUUAACACAUGCAAGUCGAACGGAAAGGCCCCUUUGGGGGUACUCGAGUGUCGAACGCGUGAGUAACACUUGAGUAACCUUCCCUUGACUUCGGGAUAACUUCAGGAAACUGGGGCUAAUACCGGAUAGGGAUCCUUGCUGCAUGGUGGGGGUUGGAUAGCUUCGGCGGUUUUUGAUGGACUCGCGGCUUAGCAGCUUGUCGGGGCGGUAGUGGCUUACCAAGGCUUUGACGGGUAGCGGGACUGAGAGGGCGACCGGCGACACUGGGUCUGAGAUACGGCCCAGACUGCUACGCGAGGCAGAAGUGGGAAAUACUGCACAAUGAGCGCCACCGGGAUGAAGAAAGUCGGCGGGCGGGAUAACGGCCUUCGGAUUGAAGACCGAAUUCAGAAGGGGCGAAGCUUGUGGUGACGGUACCUACAGAGAAAGCAGCGGCUAACUACGUG